CGGGUGAGUAACGCGUGGGUAACCUGCCUCAUACAGGGGAGUAACAGUUGGAAACGACUGCUAAUACCGCAUAAGCGCACAGGAUUGCAUGAUCCAGUGUGAAAAACUCCGGUGGUAUGAGAUGGACCCGCGUCUGAUUAGCCAGUUGGCGGGUAACGGCCCACCAAAGCGACGAUCAGUAGCCGACCUGAGAGGGUGACCGGCCACAUUGGGACUGAGACACGGCCCAA
rnacentral:rRNA from 1 species